UGGGGAAUUGUUCGCAAUGGGCGCAAGCCUGACGACGCAACGCCGCGUGGAGGAUGAAGACCUUCGGGUCGUAAACUCCUUUCGAUCGAGACGAAUGGCCUCCGGGUGAACAAUCCGGAGGAGUGACGGUACCGAGAGAAGAAGCCCCGGCUAACUCCGUGCCAGCAGCCGCGGUAAUACGAAGGGGGCUAGCGUUGUUCGGAAUCACUGGGCGUAAAGGGCGCGUAGGCGGCAAUUCAAGUCAUCUGUGAAAUCUCCGGGCUUAACUCGGAACGGUCAGAUGAUACUGCUUUGCUAGAGUGCAGAAGGGGCAAUCGGAAUUCUUGGUGUAGCGGUGAAAUGCGUAGAUAUCAAGAGGAACACCUGAGGUGAAGACGGGUUGCUGGGCUGACACUGACGCUGAGGCGCGAAAGCCAGGGGAGCAAACGGGAUUAGAUACCCCGGUAGUCCCUGAGCGGGCUGGCAAGGCGCAU
rnacentral:rRNA from 1 species